ACUUACCUUUUGUUGCCUCGGCAGAGGUUACCUGGUACCUGGAGACAGGUUACCCUGUAGCAGCUGCCGGUGGACUACUAAACUCUUGUUAUUUUAUGUAAUCUGAGCGUCUUAUUUUAAUAAGUCAAAACUUUCAACAACGGAUCUCUUGGUUCUGGCAUCGAUGAAGAACGCAGCGAAAUGCGAUAAGUAAUGUGAAUUGCAGAAUUCAGUGAAUCAUCGAAUCUUUGAACGCACAUUGCGCCCAUUAGUAUUCUAGUGGGCAUGCCUGUUCGAGCGUCAUUUCAACCCUUAAGCCUAGCUUAGUGUUGGGAAUUUACAGUUAUGUAAUUCCUGAAAUACAACGGCGGAUCUGUGGUAUCCUCUGAGCGUAAUAAAUUAUUUCUCGCUUUUGUCAGGUGCUGCAGCUCCCAGCCGCUAAACCCCCAAUUUUUUGUGGUUGACCUCGGAUCAGGUAGGAAUACCCGC
rnacentral:rRNA from 1 species